AUUGAACGCUGGCGGCAUGCCUUACACAUGCAAGUCGAACGGUAACAGGUUAAGCUGACGAGUGGCGAACGGGUGAGUAAUGUAUCGGAACGUGCCCAGUCGUGGGGGAUAACUGCUCGAAAGAGCAGCUAAUACCGCAUACGACCUGAGGGUGAAAGCGGGGGAUCGCAAGACCUCGCGCGAUUGGAGUGGCCGAUAUCAGAUUAGGUAGUUGGUGAGGUAAAGGCUCACCAAGCCGACGAUCUGUAGCUGGUCUGAGCGGACAACCAGCCAGAUUGGGACCGGGGAACGGCCCAGCAUCCGACGGGCGGCAGCAGUGGGGCAUAGUAGACAAUGCACGCAAGCCUGAUCCAGCCCUGCCGCGAACUGGAAGAAGUCCUUCGGGUUGUAGAUCGCUUUUGUCAGGGAAGAAAAGGUUCUGGCUAAUACCUGGGACUCAUGACGGUACAUGAAGAAUAAGCACCGGCUAACUACGUGCCAGCAGACGCAGUAAAAC
rnacentral:rRNA from 1 species